UCGACAAAACGCGAAACGGUGAAUUCGAUCGCUUGAUCCAGCUUCAAAAACACAACGUAACUAUCAAUCACAAAUCCACAGUAAGCUAUGAGGAGAGUCACCGGACUUGCUGGGCCCACAAUCUCAUCCUCCGUCACAAUCCAUCCACCGGACUUCCAUUUUUCUUCUAUUUUUUUCUCUCUCGCCCGAAACAGCGAUUGCCGAUGCGAUUCACCUCAAAUCCAGAACUUCAGCAUGUCCAAAUGGCAAGUUUUACUAUAGGAACAUAGGAAGUUCACCAAAGUUCGUUUACUCUUUUCUUGUAAACGAUGUUCUCUUGAAAACGUAUUCCUUGUGUUGGAACCAUUCUAGGUUGUUUGAACUUUGUACCGAAGAUUUAAGCCUAGGUGACGAUGCUAGAAAUAUUGACAAUUGGAGGUCCCGUAUCACAGAGAAGGUAAAAAAAAUUAAGGGGGAUGUAUUGAACUGAAGAUUUUAAGAGAUUUUGGGAUAUUCUUAAAUCCCCUGUUA